AUGGCGCCCCAGAGGAGUGCCCUGAGGCCGCGGAUGCUGCUCCUACACCCGCCCUCGAGGCUGAGCAGCCGCCAUUGGCUCGUGGGUAUGGAAGCAGAGUCCGGGAUGGCGAUGGUGCUAAGGAGGACUCUUGGACGUCCACCGAUUGCAUCGCUGUUGCCGUACCCAUGGAGCGACGCGGCUCCAACUACUUUGAGAUGGUAUUCCUCCCUCUUUCUUUCCUAA
rnacentral:rRNA from 1 species